GCGCGGCCGGGGAGCGGGGAGGGCCCCGCUGCCAGGGGGCGGGGGCGGUGGCCGCCUGCCUGCCGGCGGCGGCGUGUGGGCGCGGGUCAGGGUCCCCCUGAGAGGGGAGGGGGCCCCGGGCGCUCGGCGGCGGCCUCGCUGGAGCAAGGCUGCCGGGAUCCUGCUCGUAGGCCCCGUGUCCCCCCGCCUGGUCCCGAGAUAGCCGCCCGUGAAGCGGGGCCGCCCGCCCGUGAAGCGGGGCCGCGGCUCCCCGGCCAGGCGGAGGGUGAGGUCCGGCCGGGGCUACUGCUCUGCGGCGGCCGGCUCGGCUCGGCUCUGCCCUGCCCUGCCCUGCCAGCCCUCCGCGCCCUGCGCCUGGGGCCCGGUGCGAGUCCGCCUCUGCUGAGCGAGCGUCUUUCCCACCGCACUUGCCUUCCCCGCCGUGUAACUCGCGUACAGGGUAACGGCCGGCCGGGGGGCCGAACAGCCGGCAGCUACCUCGGGGAGGGAGCACAGCCUCCGUGCCAGCACACGGCUGACAGGUAAAGCAGGAGAGGGAGCAGAACCCAAACGAAAGUCUCGGCCCCUCCACAAACGGAGAUCCUUCGCCAGCUUGCUCAGCAGGGCCCGCAGAGACGGCAGCAAUGGUAGUCAGCACUAGGUUUUCAGGGCAAACAUCUUUUCCUGCUAGCAUCAGAAGAAAAAGCAAGUUCCCUUUGCUGGAAGAAGAAAAGCAAUCCAGCUGACCUCACAGAUCCCCCUUGUCCUGGACUGAGAUAAAAAAAAAAAAAAUCAAUCUCCGUGCUAGAGAAAGACUCCAGAUGACACUACAAAAGCUUGAGUGUCAGAGCCAUCUUGCUUACUCUGGAUUUCACAUAAUGGCUUUCAGACUAUCUAUGUUAGAGGCCAGUUCACAGUAACUGUCAUUGUUCUUAGCUGUUUAACAUUUGGGGUUGUAUUAUUGUCUAUGUCAAUGUUCUUCAAAUACACAGAACUUCUAUAUUAUGUGUACUAUGCUUGUGAUCCUACUUUCGAUCCAACAGAAGUAGCUACAUGUCAGCCAGAGCUUGUGACUUAAUAAAGCACGAAAAGAGAGCAAUAGUGUUUAUCAUCCACAUUUUUAUAACGACCCACUUAGUAAGCUACUUCUCCAAACUGCAUCACAAAGAGCUUGCUAAAAUCAGUCUGAGAAAAACUGUAGAGAAGGUUGAACUGGCCAAGUAUGUACAGACUGAGGGGGAAAAGGUUGUUUAUGCUUGUUAUUUAUAAGAAAGUGAUAAAAACGGCAGCUUGAUGAAAGUAACAUCAUAUACUAUGCCUAUUCUGAUUUGGUGGCAAUAACUAAGAUAGCACCCCAGCUCAAGAGCAAAGGGGCUCCCACCAGUUUCAUCCUUGUGGUAUUUCAGCAAGCAUGUAGUUGACUACCAUACAGCCUCUGCAGGCCUUUUGCUUCUUGCUCCCACAGACUCUCUUCCUCUAAGUGUCUACUCUACAUGUUCUCCAUCUUUUAGUUCAGGCAUAAGUUCCAGCUGAAAAUGUGAGCCUUGCCUCCCAGGUAGCCCAGGUUGAAAAGGAGAGCCACCUUAUUUUGGCAUUUUGCGGGGACUCAGGAUAACAAGGAAAAAGCAGAAUAAAACUGAUUGGUUUCUGCAAAUGAACCUGUUCAUGAUGGCAAGAGGACCUUGAAGCCAUCGUAGGAUGUCCCUGGGAGCUCCUAUCCAUGCCUUGCUGUUACUGGAGGACUUAGCUUAUCUGCCAUGCCACUUCAGGGGAGAAGCCUAAUAUUUGUCACCUGCCUCAGAGACUGGAGCUGCAGGUGUUGGAGCUAGCUGUGGCUAAGCCUGAGUGGAAGUCCAAAUGGGGCUGGAGGACUGACAGCUCUCAGGAUGUGUAAAUGAGGAAGUCUGCCCACAGUGCUGUUGUCUGUGUUUCUCUGGGAAGAGCUCUUGGUGUUGCUGAGGUGGGGGAGGAAUCCUGACAUCAACUGAGCCUCUGCUGCCUGGUUCUGGACCUCAGUACUAUGGCAGUCUGGCAGCUGCAUAUUUCAGCCUUGGAUCAGUCGGUGAAGAAAAUUCAUAACCAUGUCAGUCUUUGGUAGAAUCUGGGCAUUCAUAUUACUGGGCACUCUUAGACCCCAGUGGUCUACAGGGUCACUGCAGCCCCACAGGCAGCUUGUUCAACUUUUUAUCUGUCUUACUGCUUUGUAGACUCUGUCACAGUGCUCCCCUGCAAACUGGAGUGGCAGUUUGAGACCAAUGGCAGCAUGCUUGUUAUGCUCCUAGUGUGACUGCUCCAUGUUAUCCUGUUUCCUAGACAUAUGUGGGUGUGGGAAAAGAGUUUAAAAUCAGUGUAGGUUGACCAGGAAGCGUUCAACUACUUGGAGGUCCUUUUUCGCUUUAAUUUUGCCAACAUCUUCCAAUCAACAUGUCUCUGCCUCUGGUGAGCAUAAGGAGGCUAUUUCUACAGAUACCCAAAGUCCUGGAAGCUGCAAGGGAUGUUGGUGACAUGGGAGACCCUCCUUGAAGCAAGGCUAGUGUUUUGCUGUGGUCCUUGUGCCUGAGGCCUGCCCUGCAUAGGGAAACAAUCUGUCUCAGCCUCUUCUCCUUUCACGUUCCUGCUGUGCAGAAGGGCAAGCUUUCUUGUGCCUCUUCCAAGAGUCAUGUCUGAUCCUGCUCUGGGAGCAGGCUGUCUGUGGACUGGGAAACCUAUGUAUGACAUUGUGGCCGUGACUGUGAGGGGACAGUCCUGGUGAGAAUGGCUGGGGCAAACCAGAGUCUCUGUGAGCCUGGCACUUGAACACAUGAGGUGCAGUUGAGGAGAGUUGUGAGAAAAGUUUUGCUGGUUACUUCACCAGGGUCAUGUCAUGUAAGCACAGUAAAUAGCAGUGCUGACUGAGUUGCUGUUUACAACAUCUCAGAGUAGGGUUUGCAUUCAGAGCCCCUAUAGCACCAUUUUGAAACCGUGCCCAGUUGCGGUAGGAAGUUGAGUAACUGUGUGCAAGGGUCAGCUAUGGGGAGGCCAGGAGAAGUUUUAGGGCUCCGAGAAGCAAGUGAACUGCAGAGGGGUGCCUAGAUACAUCUUUAUUAAUAUAUCCGUAUCAGCAACAGCUGAGGUCAUGACAAGCUGUGUUGCUAGCCAGAACUUCCAUCUUGUCAUACUCGGCUAUUCCAGAGUAUAUGAUUCACAUGUGAUUAACCUGAAAUUCCCUCCUGGAUACAGGAGUGGCUAGGGAGAGACAAGGUCUCAUGUUUUCAGGUGGGUGGAAGGGUGCUCCCAUCAAGGGUACUGUGACUGUGUCUUCCUGGGUCAUGUGUGCUAGCUGUGAGAACCCACGCCGAUGAGACAUUCAGCCGCAUGAGACAGGGCGUGUAAUCUAAGCUGUGUCCCUGUGCCACAACCUUCUGUUUUCCUUAGCUGUGAAUGUGAAUACCUACAUGAACGCACAAGUUGGAGACAGGUGAGCCUUCCAGGCUUUCUGAAGAAGUCCACAGAGCAAUGAGGCUAUUCUAGUUUUGAUUACAAACAAUAAGAAGCAACUAGCUGAAAAGGUCAGGGUAAACAUUAGAUGAGACUGUCCAUGAAAUAGCAGAGUUAGUGAUCUGCAGGACCAGAAUGAGGAGUAGGAUCAACAUGAACCCCAAGAAAGUCAGGAGGGCAGCCUUCAAUGAACUUGGAGAAGAGGAAGGCAGGGGUCCCCGGGAAGCUUGUAUAACAGGUGAAUGGAAAAGAAAGAGUGAAUUCACAGGAGCUGCUAAUAUUAAGAGCACAAAUACAGGUUCUAAUUGUGAAGUAAAUUCAGCAACUGUAGUUAGGAAACCAGCUUGGCUAAAUCAGUCAAACUGAAGAAACAAACCUAUAGGGAAGGAGAAAGCAGGCUAAGCUGUUAGGGCUGAGAAUAAAAGUGUAACAGAAGCAUGUAGGAACAAAAUCAGAAAGACACAAGCAUGAAAUGAAAUGCAACUAGCAAGCAAAAUAAAAAAACCCACAUCACUCUAGAAGCCCACUAAUUGUAUGAGGUAGAAAGGGUUCUCUUAACUGUAAAGUGAGAAAACUAAAAGGUGUCAGGAAGGCAGUACCUUCUAGACUUUACUACAAAAGAUCAGUAAAAUAAGGAAACUAAUGCAUUAGCCUCAGUUAAGAAAAGGGUAGAAUAUUUAAGGCAGGUAUUUUCAAACUGACCUCAAGUCUCUCUCUAACUUCAUCCUAGUGUAUUUAAAGAUCUUUCUAACAGAAUCCGAGUGUCAAUAAUCAAUGUCUUUGACAAGUUAUGGAUGUUAGGAAGGAUAGAGGGAGGCUGUAAAGUGACGAGCUUGGUGGAGGGGAGGGAGGAGAAAAAGGAGAAGGUAUGGAAUUAUUGAUUAAGCAAAUUAAUUUCAAUUCCUAGAAAAAUAGUGAAAAAUAUAUUUGUACAUUCCUGAAAAAUAACAUAGGGAUGAGUAACCAUCAACAAGAAACCACAUCUCAAAAAUUUGGUUGCCUUUACGACAGCAUGACAUAUCUUAUGGAGAAGAGCUAUAGAUACAAUAUGUCUUGAUUUUCAGGUAACUUUUUAUGUGAUUUGCAUAAGCAAAUUAAUAAAGUGUGUUCUACAUUAAUCUGCAGCUAGGUGUGUGCAAAGCUUGUGGGAAAACCAGAGUAACAGGGUGGUUCUCUAUAAAAAUGGAAAUGUGUAUCAAGUUGGAUUGCACAGAUCCAGAAUCUGGUGACCUGGACGAAUGCUUAUAAAAGGGAAAAUGCUUAUUGAAUUCACAUAUAUGUCAGGCUGGGAAGGAGUAAGUAUGCUGGAGGACAGGGACAGAAUAAAAAAUGAUCUUCAAUUAGAAAUAUGAAAAAAAUGGAAGCUAGUCAACCAAAACAGCUGCAGACCUAGGCAGGAAUAAUCAACUGGUAGGGAAAACUGGUUAGGUAGCAGUUCUGUACAAUAGUAACUCAGGCUUUGAGUGGUCACAGACUGGCUGUGAGUCAACCAUGGCUUGUUAUUGCAAAAAAAGGUAAGUGUCCUGCUGGGGUGUAUUAUGAGGAUUAGAGUUUGCAAGACUUGGCAAGGAAUUCUGCUUUGCUUAGCAGUUGUAAAGCUAGUUCUGGAUGUUGCAUGUGAAGAAGGAUGUGGACCACCUGGAGAGCAACCAGAAUGUCAAAGGGCCUAGAGGAAAUAGUGAAUUAUUAGGGAGGAAUAAGAUGAGUAGAAGAAUGACAACAGUCCACAAAUAUGUGAGAAGUUACUGAUGAGAUGGGAAUGUUUUCUAUGUCCACCAGGGGCAGAAAUUGCAACCAGGAUAUUUUACGUUAAACAUUAGGACAAACAUUUUUCAAGGGUAGAGGUACUGGAAAAAAGAUUGCCAGUGGUAUGGUCAGGGUCUGUCAUUGGGGUCUUUAAGAACAGGCUACAUACAUAUCCUCCAUAAACAGAAAUUUGGUAGGUGUAGUGGAGCAGCCUGGAGGCAGGGAGGCUGUCAGUAGGACUUUCUUCGGACUCUUCAGCCCUAUGUUUCUAUUGUUGCUAAUGUCAUAGAAUCACAGAAUCAUAGAAUGGUUUGGGUUGGAAGGCACCUUUAAAGGUCAUCUAGUCCAAACCCCCUGCAAGGAGCAGGGACAUCUUUCACUAGAUCAGGUAGCUCAAAGCCUCAUCCAACCUGACCUUGAACACUUCCAAUGAUGGGGCAUUGCUUCUCUGGGCAACCUGUUCCAGUGUCUCACCACCCUCAUCAUAAAAAAAUUCUUCCUUAUAUCAAAUCUAAAUCUACCCUUUUUCAGUUUGAAACCAUUGCCCCUUCUCCUAUCACUACAGGCCUUGGUAAAAAGUGGAUCCUGUCCACCAGUACACGCAUUGUCCCCUCCCAUGUCCUGGAGUCUAUGCCAUUCCACUUGAUACUAGUUGAAGGUUUCAACCCCCAAAAUCCUCCUCAUAAUCCUGCUCCUAGUUAAGUUAAUUUACCUAUGAAACACAGUGCAACUUCUCUGGUGUAAUCCUGACCUCAUCCUAACCCUGUUGGUUGUAAAUAAAAACUUGUGCAAUGUUUUGGAGUUUUCUUUUUACAUAAAACUACAUCUCUUUUUUUAACCUUAAAACUUAUGUUGUAAUACACAGCUGGUCAACAGUCUCCAAACAUCUGCCAUGGGUAAAUACAGGAAAUGUCUUGUGGCUGUUGUACUUGAUGUCUGAUGAAAAUAUGAUAUCACUUCUGAGGGCAAAAGGCUCUUUCUCCCACUGGUGUUUCCCACAGGACUUCAGGAGAGGGCUGGCUUUGGAACUGCUGCUUCUCAUAGCAACAGAAUGGUGAUGAACUGUUGCUGUGAGAGGCAGGGACCCCUGAAGCACAGCUCCUGCUGAGUCUUGAGCUAAGUAGGAGGAAAGGACAAGUGACCCUGCUGCUCACGGAGGCAGCCCUUUCCUUUCCUGGAUGUUGUGAGUCUCUUAGUUCCAGCUGAGGUCCUAAUUCAGCUGUCCCGCAGCUACAAUCUAUGACAGCUGCAUGAUCUGCCUCCAUGUCCGGCAGGGAGUGCUCAUGGAAUUCAGAACUUGUCCAAAGGUAGGAAAUCCUGUAGUUCAGCAGUGGAAGAAAAGGUUCCUGUGAACAGCAUCUGAAGUGGCAGAAACUCCACUAUUGCGACAAAUGCCAUCCAUGAGCAUUCAAGGAUUUAACAAGACAGUCUCUGAAAUGGAGUAAAAAUGUUUCGGGGAGGAAGACAGUAUAAUUUUUUUCCUAACUGGUUGAGGAACAGAGUUAUUCUUUCAAUGUUACCACAUCUGCACCUCAAGACAGCUCGCUGUCACUCACACCUCCCGAUAAGCUCCUUGGUGAACAAGUUCUUCAGCUGAACUGACUAGAUCCAGAUGGGAUGCCAACGGCAGCUGUGGUCACACCUUUUCAUGACAUCAAGCAUAUGAUUCUGUGUGAUGUAGGGUUUUGUCAUUGACCUAAUUAGGAUCAAAAGCAAAUCCUAAUGGCUGCCUGCAAGACCCUGUGAUGUCAGUAAAAGUUUUGCCAUUGUACUUUUGUACCAACUUCUUAACACAUCAUGACUUCCAUCUGCAUGUGGACGGAGACCCAAUCAACUAGAGCUCUUAUCAAGCUUCUGGGAUAAAGCUGAUCAAAAAUAAAAUCCUGGAACAAAAUCUGCUUUGAGUUAUUUUAUGUUUCACACAAAUUUAACUCUGUUAAUUGCCACGGAAUUUCUCUUCAGCUGCACUGUUGCAACGAAGUGCAGAGCUUUUGCCUCAAAUGUCUCCCAGCUUCAGAAAAUGUUCUGAUCAGGAAUCUUUUAAUGUAUUUCAUUCUUCUUGAUGUUGAAGUUAUUUCACUAACCCUUCUUUAUCUUUGCUGCUGAAUAUACAUUUGAUUACUAAAUUUAGUGCUUCUCUUCACAUGACCCAUUUCUUUUGAGUCUUAAUGCUGUUGCUUGGAUACGCUUCUCUCUUCUAAGUGAGGCACUUGGUUUCAUCUUGCUUUUUUCUGUGCUUUGGGCAAUACAAAUGGAUUGUUAUUGAAUAUUUUUUCAGGUUUUUAAAUGUAUUUGGUUUGUCUGGCACCUUGGUUUCAGGAGAACUUUUGUCUUUGCAGAUCUGUCUUUUUAUGUAUAGUAUAUCCUGUGUAACGUUGAAUAGCUUGCUAUUGCUUUUCUUCACAAUCAGUUACAAAAAUGACACCAUUAUGUUGAGUAAAGGCCAAUCACUACAUAACUUAUGGGAAUACGAAUAUUUAUAGAUAAACAGGGAGAUAUAUUCAAUUUCCUUUUUGUAUGUGUACUGUAGCUGCAAGUUAAUUUCUGAAGCACCUUACAUGAAUUCAUCUUUUUGUUUUAGUCCUGGGCUAUUAAAGUAUACAACAGGAAUAAACUAAAGCACUUUAAUUUGGGCUGAAGUAUUCUUACUCCUGUACAGAGUUUUGCUUAUACCAUUUUGAAAAAGGUAUAGUAGACUAGCACAAGAAGAA